rnacentral:lncRNA from 13 species
GAAGUAAACCCUGGAGGAAGGAAACAACCUCGCUCGGCUGGUAAGAGAAUGAGAGUUAGAGACAUACUACAAGUUAGUGAGCUCUUUACUAGCCUUUCAACAACGAGUUAGCACAGCAGAAGACAGUGUUCUCUGUGAGCACAUUGCACAUCGUUUAGCUUUGUCUUCUCCUUUUUGUUGAUUUCAGCGAUCCUAAGGUCCACAGCAUCGUGGAAAGAGCUGUGAGGAGCAUUCUGGGCGAGCAGUCCAAUGAGCCCCAUAGCAACCUGCUCAGCCCAUCUCAGGUGGUUGUGGAGGUGGUGCCCAGGCUCCUCCUGGCCCUGUGGCUUCAGCCAGAGGAAGGCCAUUCAGAGCACCCAAUCCUAAUAAGCGGGAUGGCCGUGGGCAUGGUGGCGGCCGUAGUGGAGAAGCUAUCCUGCAUGUUAUAGGACCCCUCCCCUCACAUCCCUUUCUCCCGGGCUGCUGCUUUUGACUCUGUGCAGUCGAUCCUCGGGAGAAUCAGUCAGUCCUUCUCCACCGAUGACCUGCAGAGCCCUUUUUAUAUGAGCUCUGUUUGUGCCUUUGUGGCGGACAAGGUGCAGAGCUGCUUCCAGCCCCCUGCAGCCACCCUACCAGUCCCCCCUGUCCUCACGGUGGCCGCUUCCACCACACUACCAGCUGCCAUCCAAGCAGGUGAGUAGCACUGAUAGAGAGCACUCUGACAGAUGCCUGUUCUGAUGACAUCUUGGUUCCUUGUAGUUGUAGAGCUCAUCAGGAUUGUUGUUGUCACCCAUAACACAGACCCGGCUUCUUCCCACCUGGAGGUUGUGGACAUCACCCCUAACACAGAGGCAGACCCGGCUUCUUCCCACCUGGAGGUUCAAGACAUCACCCCUAACACAGAGGCAGAGCCCAUCUCUUCCCUCUUGGAGGUUGUGGACGUCACACCUGAAGAAAGGACUCUCACGAUGGCCGUCUCCGCCACUCUGCCAGCUGACAUCCAAGCAGAGGAUGUUGCUGUGGUCAUCCCGGAUGUCACCCCACACGUCAUCAAGGACGUGAUACUGGAUGUUCCAUGCAGAGCUAGGAAAGGGGCAGUCCAGCGAUUAUUUUGCAGGCUUUGGAGGGCAGUGUGCUGCUGCGCCUGCCACAAGGAAGAGGAGGAACAAUAUUAAUUAUUCAUCAGACCUUCAGAAAUGGGAUUGAACCAUAGACCAUUAAAUUAUUCGCAUUAUAAUUGGACUCAAUUCUGCUUUUCUUCUGUUUACUACUUAAUUUCAGAACUUUUCUAUAAACUUUCACUUUGCAAGUGUGGAGUAGGUUGUGUAAAUAAGUGGGAAACAUCC